GGUGACUGCAAAAACGGCGGAAAUUGUACUGAAUUCAGAUGUUCCACAUUAUGUGACUGCCUGCCAGGAACAUCAGGAGAUUACUGUUCUGAAAUUGCGGAUUGCAAGAUAGAUAAUUUUUGUGGUUCCGAUAACGAUUCGACGUGCCUGUACGGCAGUUUUCGAAUGGAAACUGUCUGUCAAUGCUCGAAUACAAGGAAAGAAUUUAAUUACAAGGAGAAAAUCUGCAAAGAAUUUCUCUGGCAAGAUUCUUUUUAUGCAAAGACAUCAGUGGCUUAUGGGCAAGUUAUUAUUAAAAAAAACUUCAUAAAAUUCAAAAGAAAACAAAAUAUUCUUAUGUUAAAGAUUUUAUGAAUACAUUUCUGGCAUUAUUUAUAAAUAAUAAAAUAUAUAUAAUAUAUUUCUGAGCCAAUAUUUUGUGCCUGUGGAAUAUCCUUACGCUGUCCAUCGACAGUUAACUAUGCUGCCAAUUUUAAAAUAUCACGGGUUUUGCCUAUUGUCAUUAAAACAGUAUAUUGUUGUGCUAAUAUCAUUUUAAUUCUUCAACGACCGUUUAAGCUAUUAGAUUAAAGAAGUAUUUAGCUAUAAGGAUAAAAAGAAUGAAAAACAUUUUUAAUAGCAUUAUAACGCGUUCUGUUCCCGGUUUACUUCAUAAUAUGUUUUCUCGCUCCUUUCGGCAUGCCAUCGAGGUGUAACUGCUGGACGAGGAUUCGGAAGACCUGAAAUUCAAGUCCCGGUGAGUGCCUUCUUCAAUUUCCUGAUAUCAAAAAUUUUCAAAAGGCCAUAAAUGGCCAUCGAAUUAAAAAAAAAAAAAAAAAAAAAAAAAAAAAAAAAAAAAAAAAAAAAAUGGGG